GUCGAGCGGACCGACGGGAGCUUGCUCCCUUAGGUCAGCGGCGGACGGGUGAGUAACACGUGGGUAACCUGCCUGUAAGACUGGGAUAACUCCGGGAAACCGGGGCUAAUACCGGAUGCUUGAUUGAACCGCAUGGUUCAAUCAUAAAAGGCGGCUUCGGCUGCCGUUUACAGAUGGACCCGCGGCGCAUUAGCUAGUUGGUGAGGUAACGGCUCACCAAGGCGACGAUGCGUAGCCGACCUGAGAGGGUGAUCGGCCACACUGGGACUGAGACACGGCCCAGACUCCUACGGGAGGCAGCAGUAGGGAAUCUUCCGCAAUGGACGAAAGUCUGACGGAGCAACGCCGCGUGAGUGAUGAAGGUUUUCGGAUCGUAAAGCUCUGUUGUUAGGGAAGAACAAGUACCGUUCGAAUAGGGCGGUACCUUGACGGUACCUAACCAGAAAGCCACGGCUAACUACGUGCCAGCAGCCGCGGUAAUACGUAGGUGGCAAGCGUUGUCCGGAAUUAUUGGGCGUAGAGCGCGCGCAGGCGGUUUCUUACGUCUGAUGUGAAAGCCCCCGGCUCAAC
rnacentral:rRNA from 1 species